UUUUAAAGUGGCAGAAACGAAUAUGCGUUGGAUUUAAGCUCCAAAGAUGGGGAGACCCCUUUAAAAA
rnacentral:tRNA from 1 species